rnacentral:rRNA from 1 species
CAAUAGCGUAUAUUAAAGUUGUUGCGGUUAAAAAGCUCGUAGUUGGAUUUCUGCUGAGAACGACCGGUCCGCCCUUUGGGUGUGUAUCUGGCUCUUUCUUGGCAUCUUCUUGGUGAACGUUGCUGCACUUGACUGUGUGGAGCGCUACCCAGGACUUUUACUUUGAGGAAAUUAGAGUGUUUCAAGCAGGCAUACGCCUUGAAUACAUUAGCAUGGAAUAAUAAGAUAGGACCUCGGUUCUAUUUUGUUGGUUUCUAGAGCUGAGGUAAUGAUUAAUAGGGAUAGUUGGGGGCAUUCGUAUUUAACUGUCAGAGGUGAAAUUCUUGGAUUUGUUAAAGACGGACUACUGCAAAAACAUUUGCCAAGGAUGUUUUCAUUGA